UUGCUGGUGUUGUUUUUGUUUUUGUGUUUGUAGUUUGUUGUGUCUGUCUGAUCAGUGACAAUGGAAUGACGGAAAAGUGGCGCGGUGAUAGGUGAUGUGGGGUUAGGAGACAGGGUGUGUGGCGUUGAAUGUGUACAGACUUUUAAUCGCCCCUGGAGAAACGUGUCUGGCGGAAACUUACCAACACCAACCGGCUCGUCGGCUCGUCCUCCGAGUUGGCCAAGUCUACCGACGCCACCGACGCCGUCCUCCUUCGGGUCCUCAGCUAAAGAAACUGCGAGUGCACUUGGUUGUACCACAAUGCCGAAGUGUACAUUGUGCCAAGAGACAGCGGGUAAACCUUCUGGGCAGUGUACGGCCUGCGAGAAGAAGUUUGAAACUAGUCCGGGAGUGUCAGACGAGCAGUCUCAAAUCCACCCGGGAGGAAAAAAGUAUGUAUGUCCUACGUGCCACAAGGAAUUUAAGACCGGUCCGGAGUUUGGCAUUCAUGAACGAUCCCACUUAGAGGAAGUGCAUGGGUGUACUCUGUGCGAGAAGAAAUUCAAGUACGGCUGGAAGUUGCUCUUUCAUCUCAGAAGUCACAUCCGAAAGAAGCCCCUCGAGGUGACUGUGUGCGGUCGGAAAUAUUGGACCAGCACGGAGAUGCAUGUGCAUGGUUUGCAACGAGGGGGCAAUAACUCCGGGAAUCAUGUGUACACCUGUCUGGGAAUCAUCAGGUUGAAAAUUGAUCAAAAUCAAUAGAAAUCGCUGAGAAUAAGCGGGAAACUAGAGAAAUAAGUACAAAUCAGUCGAAAUAAGCGUUUUAUACCACUUAAACCCCCCGAAAAACCUAGGUAAUAAUUAUAAGCGGACGGGAAUCACCGGGAAUCAAGAAUUUCGGGAAUCAUGUGUACACUUCAGAAGGGAGUUAUUGCCCCCUCGGUUUGCAAACUCUCACUGGAGAGAAGCUUUAUGGUUGUACUGUUUGCCGCAAGACAUUUAAGACUGAUUCAAGUUUGCGCAUGCAUUUCCAAGUUCACACCGGAGAGUUGCCUCAUGCGUGUUCUGAAUGUCACAAGAAAUUUGGGUCCAGAAAGGCUCUGCGCGGUCAUCUCCGAACUCACCUCGAAGAAACGCAUAAGUGUGCUGAAUGCAAUAAGAAAUUUAAGACCAUUUCGGAUUUGCGUCAGCAUAUCCUAGCUCACGCGUUGCCCCAAGAGUGUUCUAAAUGCAACAAGAAAUUUAAGACCAGCUCACAGUUAACCGUUCAUCAAAGCAGGUUUCACAAGGAGAAGUCUCAUGGGUGUACUCUUUGCAGCCAGAAAUUUGCGACAAGUUCACAGUUGGCCAUUCAUCAAAGGUCACACAAAGAUAAGUCUCAUGGGUGUACUCUGUGCACUCAGAAAUUUAAGACCGGUUGGAUGCUGCUCUUACAUCUCCGUAAACACAUAGGAGAAAAGCCUCACGAAGUUACUGUGUGCGGUAAGAAAUUUACGACCAUCACAAAAGUGCCGAUUCACUCCCGCACUUCCACCGAAGAAAAGCUUCAUGGUUGUACUGUGUGCAAAGAGAAUUUUACUACCAGUUCGGAUUUGCUGCUGCAUUUCGUAGACCACACUGGAGAAUUGCCUCAUGCGUGUACUGAUUGCGACAAGAAAUUUAAGACCCGUUGGGAGUUUGGCGUCCAUCAGCAAUCACACAUUGAGACUCCUCAGUGGACAUUGGUAUAGCCAUCGACUCCUUCACCAAAGUGAACCAUUUGAGUGUACUGAUCGAAUGCUAGAAGAAUUUAAGCCCGAUUCGGAAUUGAAGAAUUGGUGGUUUGGUAUGAUUGAUUAAACAUGCUCAACACAUUUUUAUACAUUUUAUCGACAUUUUACGUCUCUAUUUUAGAAGUGUUUAAGAAUGUAUGUGUGUUAUCGUGAUUUGUUUUUUUUGUUUGUGAUUAUAUCUACAUUAAAAUAAUCAAGACCUA